rnacentral:lncRNA from 1 species
CCUGGAUGCAAGGUCUGGAACAAAUGCUGAAAUUCUGACUUGAAGCUCCCUGUGAUGCCGAUGGCAUCCUCUUCCAUAUGAUAUGUCCUUGGCUUUACCAAUCCUGGCUGCAUCUCAAAGCUUUGAGCCGCCCUGGGGCCCUGCUGGAAGACAUGCAGGGGCAGGUGGCAUUUGCAGCCCAGCCAGCCUGUGCAGGCCUGGUGGAAUUUGGUGUGGUGGCCAUCGGGCCU